UGGGGAAUUUUGCACAAUGGGGGAAACCCUGAUGCAGCGACGCCGCGGGAUUUAGAAGGCCUUCGGGUUGUAAAAAUCUUUUUUACGGGAUGAAAAUGACAGUACCGUAAGAAUAAGGGCCGGCUAAAUACGUGCCAGCAGCCGCGGUAAUACGUAUGGACCGAGCGUUGUCCGGAAUCAUUGGGCGUAAAGGGUACGUAGGCGGCCUAGUAAGUUAGAAGUGAAAUAAUAUAGCUCAACUAUAUAAAGCUUUUAAAACUGCUAUGCUUGAGAGAAGGAAGGGAAAGUGGAAUUCCUAGUGUAGCGGUGAAAUGCGAAGAUAUUAGGAAGAAUACCGGUGGCGAAGGCGACUUUCUGGUCAUCAUCUGACGCUGAGGUACGAAAGCGUGGGGAGCAAACAGG
rnacentral:rRNA from 1 species